AAGAAACAGAGAGCAAAACAAAACAAAACAAAACAGAGAAGGGAGAAAGAAAGAAACAGAGAGCAAAACGAAACAGAGAAGGAAGGAAGGAAAGAAAGAAAGAAAAGAAAAGAAAAAGGGAAAUUUGGGGUUUUAAGGUUCAAAGUAAUUUGGUAAGUCAAUUUAAUCCCAUUUUCUCUUAAUUUUGAUAUUUUUUUUGAAAUCCUAGAAUAAAAUACUACUUGAUUUAAGUUGAAAUUUUGAAAGUUAGUAGAUUAUUAAGCAUGGUUCAUGUUGAAUAAAUUGUUAAAUUAGGGAUGUAUUUGAUAGAAAUUUUGAUUUGAAUUGAAUAAAGGAUUGAAUUGUAAACUAAACUAUAAGUUUUAAAUUUUAGGGAUUAAUUUGAAAUAAAUUCGGAAUUAUGAAAACAUGAUAAAAAUUAAAUAGUUAAAUAUGAGUUUAGUAAGAAAUUGGGUAGAAUAAGGGUAUGAAUUGAGAAAGAAAAAUAUAUAGGUUUAGUUAGGGGUUAAAUUGAUUUAAUUUCAAGUUAGAAGUUAGUAAAGAAUGUAAUUGUAAAAUAAAAUAUAAGUUUUGAAUCGAUAGGGAUUAAAUUGAAAGAAUCCCGAAAUUAGGGAUUUAUGGUGAAAUUGAGGAAUUAAAUUGACUUUAUAGUAAGAAUUAAGAGAGAAUAUAGAGUUAGAUUGGGAAAAAUAAAAUUAGUAUUGGUAAGAGAUUAAAUUAGAAUUUGGGUAAAGUUUAGGUAUAAAAGGAAAUAUUUUAAUGAAAUUGUGUAUUAAUGAUUUUUAAUUGUUUAAUUACGUAGCUAAUGUCGUGUACGAGUCAUUGUCUGAGAAGGAAAGGAGAAAGUGGACAAGGAGUGACUCGAGAGAAAUUACGGUUAGUAUUACUAUAAUUCGAAUUUAAUUAUUAAUUGUUAAAAUUUAAAUUAAUAUACAUGAUAAGAAAAUUGAGGUGAGUAUCAUGAUUGAAUCGAAUGAAAUAUAUAUAUACGUAUUGAUAUUGAAUUUAUUGAUAGUAAUUGUUGAAUUUUGAAUAAUAUGUUUAGUAAAUAAAAAUAAGGAGAAUACCAAUAUUUAAUUGAAUGAAUUAAAAUAUGAAUUGAAUAAAUGAGAUAUUAAAUUGAGAUAUGUGAAUAUGUGAAUUGUGUAUUGAUUGAAAGGUGGUUUGAAUUGAAUCGAAGUAUGAUUAUAUGUGAAUAUCUGAAAUAUGUAUUGGUAUUGAAUUGUAUAUUGAUUUGAAAGUGGGAAGUGAAUCUGAGUUGAAUUGCGAUUAAAUCGAAAGUGAAAUUGAAAAAGAAAAAUGUAUUGAAACAAAUGGUGAUUAAAUGGGAAUGAUUUGAAUUGAAAGUAUGAGAAAGUGAUUGAAUUGAAAUGUGAUUCGGAAACCCUAUUAACUAGUCGGGCUGAGUCGGAUAUAGUUGGCAUGCCAUAGGAUUGGAAGAGUUCAGGGAUACUUCGACCUUGAGUCGAUGAGACACUGGGUGUCAUACUAUUACUUCGGAUAGAUUCGAUGAGGUACUGGGUACCAACUUACUUCGGCUUGGCCGAUGAGACACUGGGUGUCAACUAUUGCUUCGAACUAUCCGAUGAGGCACUGGGUGCCAUUCUGGUGUGUUUGGUUGGAUCCGUGUAUCCGCCAAGGUCCGAGUCUUGUUAAUAGGGGUAAAUAAUUGAAAUGAGAAAAUUGAAUAAAUGUGAUUGAUUGAGCUAUGGGAAGAAACGAAAAAGUGAAGUUGUGAAUUGAUGUGUGAAUUGGAAAUCGAAAUAAGAGAUUUAAAGAUAUGAACCCAAAGUUCAUGAUAUGAAAAAGAGUAAAUUUUGUUAUAUGAUAUUAGUGAGUACAAAUUGCAAUAAAAUUUAUAUUGAAUAUAAAUUAAAUGAAAUGAAUUGUAUAUGAAUUGAAAUGAACUAUUGGAAUGAGAUGUAAAGAAAAAUCCAAUGGAAUUGAGAUAGUGAAAUAAGGUAUGAAUACAAUUAAAUACAAGAUUUGAAUUAUAGCUUAUUGUUAUUAAUUAUCAAGUUGAUUUAAUGCAUGAGAUAAUUAAUGAAUAAUUGUAGACAUAAAUAAAAUGUAUAUAAUUUAUCGAUUAAUGUUAUUAAUUCGAAUUAUGGUAAUACCACUGAGUAUUUCCAUACUCAGCGUAUGGUUGUUUCCGUGCGCAGGUUAGGUCAAAGUCGGAUUGUUGAAUCAGCAUCCAAAGCCGAUUCUGAGCUAACUGUGGUUGUGAACAUUUCUUUUAGUUAUGGCAUGUAUAGGAAUUUAGUAAUUUUGUAUAUUUGUAAAUAUGAUUUUACUAUAGAAUGAUGUGUAAGUAUUUGAUGAUGAAUGGUUGCUUAAAUGGUCAAGGAUGAAGUUAAUUAUUGUUAUAAAAGUCUAAGUGAUAAAUUAGGUAUGAAAGUCAUAAAAUGGUAAAAUUUUGCAAAGAAACAGAAUUCAGGCAGCAAUAGUGACGUAACUUUGAAAAAUCACCUAGGAUAGUAUAAAAUGAAUUAGAGGGUGAAUGAUAUAUGAAAUGAAAUAUUAUUGAGUCUAUUUAAAAAUAACGGUUUAGCAAAAAGAAAUUUAUAUUUUAAGAUAUGUGAAUUUUAGUGAGAAAUGGUCAGAUCUAUUUCUGGAGUCCCCUGUUCCGAGUUUAGAAAAUCACUAAAAAUGGUAUAAAAAUAUUUAUGAGUUGUAGUUUAUAUGUGUAGAAUCCUUAUUGAGUCUAUUUUCUGUAGAAAUAAGUGGUAAUAUCAUAUGAAAAUCCUAUAAUGAGAAAAUUUAUUUUUAGUACCAAGGGGUCAGGACAGUCGAGUGAAGAAACAGGGGAGAAUUUAACUAAUAAACUGUACUAAAUGGCUAAACCAAAAAUUCUGGAAAUUUUAUGGUAGAAAGAUAUAUGAGUCUAGUUUCAGGAAAAAUUUACGAAAUUAAAUUUGGAGUUCUGUAGCUCGAGUUAUAAUCAAUUUAGUAACUGCUGCGCGAUUAAACAGAUUACUGUAAACAGUGAAAAAUAUUUUUAAAACGAAUUUUUAUGCCCCGAAUUAGUAAGAUAAACUAAGUAAUGCCUCGUACUCGAUUCCGGAAACGGUCUCGGGUAAGGGGUGUUACAUACCCGGUAAGUUAGGGCACCACACCUCGAAGCUCCGAAAAUAAGCAUUUUUUAGACUCGUGUUGUGAUUUAAAAGAAUAUUUCGCAUUUAGAUUGAAUGAGAAAAGUCGAGGCCCAGUAACUUAGGGCACGAUUAUCUCGAAUCACCUAAUGCGGAAUAUUGCUACUUUGUGAAAGAAUUGCAUUAAUAGAUUGAGUGGGAAAUAUAACAUAAUUUAGCAUAAAAGCAAAUUAUAGAAUUGCUAUGUAUGAUGACACAAUGAUAGGUGUGGUAGUGUCAAAAACGAUAAUACGAACAGUUAUAAAAGAUGAUAUAGUAAUGAGGCUAAGCAAACGUAAACACAUGCGUGAGGAAAAUGAAAUAAUCAAACACGCAAGCAAAUAAAUAAAUGAAUAAAUAAAUAAAUAAUGGUAGAAUAAAAUGAUAACGAAAACAAUAAUAACGAUAUGAGUAAAGAUAAACGAAUAAAACGAAUAAAAAAGAAAAUAAUAAAAUAAUGAAUAAAGCAGGAGAUGUUCAAAAUUAAAAGGAACUCAUAAUAAACAAUUAUUAUGUAAAACUAAAGAACGAUAAUAUAGAAACGGUAAUAAUAAUAUUAAUAGUAAUAAUACAGGUAAUGCUUUAGAAAUGAUGUAUGAAAGUGUAUAUACGUACGUGUAUAAAUAAAUAAUAUAUGAUGUGGGUGAGGGAAGAAUAAAAUAAGUGUAUUUAAAAGGUAAUAGGUGAAAAUGUAGGAAUAAUAAUGAUAUAAAUAAUAACAUUAAAAUAAAGUAAUAAGCAAGUGAAAAUAUUAAGUACAAUAAUAUAUGAUAAAAAAAAUACUAUAUAAAGAGUAUAUAUACAUGUAUAAAAUAGACAUAACAAUAAUAUGAUAUAUUAAAAAUAUAUAUAUAUUUAUAUGAUGUUAAAAGAUGUAUAUAUAAUAUUUAUAUUAGGAAUAAUAAUAAUAAUGCUAUGUAGAUAUAGUAAUACAUAAUAUAGUUAAAAAUAUACACGUAACAUAUAGAAAAAUACAAUAUUAAGAGGAUGUAU
rnacentral:lncRNA from 1 species